AGCGAACGCUGGCGGCAGGCUUAACACAUGCAAGUCGAACGCAUCCUUCGGGGUGAGUGGCAGACGGGUGAGUAACACGUGGGAACGUACCCUUCGAUCUGGGAUAACUUCGGGAAACUGGAGCUAAUACCGGAUACGCCCUUUUGGGGAAAGGUUUACUGUCGAAGGAUCGGCCCGCGUCUGAUUAGCUAGUUGGUGGGGUAACGGCCUACCAAGGCGACGAUCAGUAGCUGGUCUGAGAGGAUGAUCAGCCACACUAGGACUGAGACACGGCCCAGACUCCUACGGGAGGCAGCAGUGGGGAAUAUUGGACAAUGGGCGCAAGCCUGAUCCAGCCAUGCCGCGUGAGUGAUGAAGGCCUUAGGGUUGUAAAGCUCUUUUGUCCGGGACGAUAAUGACGGUACCGGAAGAAUAAGCCCCGGCUAACUUCGUG
rnacentral:rRNA from 1 species